rnacentral:rRNA from 1 species
AUUGAACGCUGGCGGCAGGCCUAACACAUGCAAGUCGAACGGUAACAGGGAUCAGCUUGCUGAUUCGCUGACGAGUGGCGGACGGGUGAGUAAUGUCUGGGAAACUGCCUGAUGGAGGGGGAUAACUACUGGAAACGGUAGCUAAUACCGCAUAACGUCGCAAGACCAAAGAGGGGGACCUUCGGGCCUCUUGCCAUCGGAUGUGCCCAGAUGGGAUUAGCUAGUAGGUGGGGUAACGGCUCGCCUAGGCGACGAUCCCUAGCUGGUCUGAGAGGAUGACCAGCCACACUGGAACUGAGACACGGUCCAGACUCCUACGGGAGGCAGCAGUGGGGAAUAUUGCACAAUGGGCGCAAGCCUGAUGCAGCCAUGCCGCGUGUAUGAAGAAGGCCUUCGGGUUGUAAAGUACUUUCAGCGGGGAGGAAGGGAGUAAAGUUAAUACCUUUGCUCAUUGACGUUACCCGCAGAAGAAGCACCGGCUAACUCCGUG